AGUGAACGCUGGCGGUAGGCCUAACACAUGCAAGUCGAACGGCAGCACAGUAAGAGCUUGCUCUUACGGGUGGCGAGUGGCGGACGGGUGAGGAAUACAUCGGAAUCUACUUUUUCGUGGGGGAUAACGUAGGGAAACUUACGCUAAUACCGCAUACGACCUACGGGUGAAAGCAGGGGAUCUUCGGACCUUGCGCGAUUGAAUGAGCCGAUGUCGGAUUAGCUAGUUGGCGGGGUAAAGGCCCACCAAGGCGACGAUCCGUAGCUGGUCUGAGAGGAUGAUCAGCCACACUGGAACUGAGACACGGCCCAGACUCCUACGGGAGGCAGCAGUGGGGAAUAUUGGACAAUGGGCGCAAGCCUGAUCCAGCCAGACCGCGUGGGUGAAGAAGGCCUUCGGGUUGUAAAGCCCUUUUGUUGGGAAAGAAAAGCAGCAGGUUAAUACCCCGCUGUUCUGACGGUACCCAAAGAAUAAGCACCGGCUAACUUCGUG
rnacentral:rRNA from 1 species